rnacentral:rRNA from 1 species
CCUACGGGAGGCAGCAGUGGGGAAUAUUGGACAAUGGGCGAAAGCCUGAUCCAGCCAUGCCGCGUGUGUGAAGAAGGCCUUCGGGUUGUAAAGCACUUUCAGUGGGGAAGAAAGCCUUGGGGCUAAUACCCUCGAGGAAGGACAUCACCCACAGAAGAAGCACCGGCUAACUCCGUGCCAGCAGCCGCGGUAAUACGGAGGGUGCGAGCGUUAAUCGGAAUUACUGGGCGUAAAGCGCGCGUAGGCGGUCUGAUAAGCCGGUUGUGAAAGCCCCGGGCUCAACCUGGGAACGGCAUCCGGAACGGUCAGGCUAGAGUGCAGGAGAGGAAGGUAGAAUUCCCGGUGUAGCGGUGAAAUGCGUAGAGAUCGGGAGGAAUACCAGUGGCGAAGGCGGCCUUCUGGACUGACACUGACGCUGAGGUGCGAAAGCGUGGGUAGCAAACAGGAUUAGAUACCCCAGUAGUC